AGCAGGCAGGCACAUGUAUGUUGGCUCUUUUCCUGCUUGUGACAGCUCCAGAUUUGGAAUAUUCAGGGGAUGAAUCCUUAAAUCAGCAUCACAGUCUCAGGAGUCCCAGGCCUAAGGAGAAAAUUAAAGUGGGUAUCAGUCUGGUGGGAUAAAGAGGAGAUUGUGAGCUGAAGGAGGCUCUGGGUGCUUGCCUCUGCAGAUACACACGUAAGGGAGGACUGACCUAUGACGGCCUGAAGAGUACGUGCAGGGAAUCCCUGUGGAUAUUUGAGUCAUCAAAAUUCCAUUGACAAGAUAAAAAUCAGGAUGAAUGGCGAUGGCCUGGGAUACAGUGGAUGACCUUGGUGUCUUCAAUGUCUGACCAAACUCUAAGCACUCCAUGCAGAGUCUGCUUCAGCCUCUUUGAUGGCCAUUGGAACAAAUUGUUUCCAUCCACUCAUUCCACCAGGGAGAGACAUUCCCUUACCUCGCCAACGGGUUUGAGGCCUGUUGGUUACCCUCAACUUGGUUUAUUCCAUCUGUGAGACUGUUUUACCAGGCUAUGACUGCUGUGCAUGCUACAGCUUCUUAGGGCCACAGGUGAGAGUUGGGUGACAGGUGGACACCAAAGGUAGACGAGCAGCCCUGAAAAGGGCACAGCAAGUCCUUGCACCACAAGUGCUAGUCCUCCCUGAACAUGUUUCACUUAUAAUACAAUAUAAUCUUCUGUGUGUUUAUUGAAACUGGAAAUGUUUGUGUCAUUAAAAAUUACUCGGAAUGUUUACUAUUAUUUAUUUCAUUCCAUGAGAUCAGAAAUAAUUGGACUCUGCCACUUGCCUUACCCUCAAAAUAGACUGUAGCUACUACUGUAUCACCUAUUUUAAACCAGUGAAAUUCAGUAACAUUGAGAUAAGAAAUGCUCUACGGGGUCAGACCAAUGAUCUAUCUAGCUCAGGAAUUCUUAUUCUGGGGGUUCAGGGAUAAAUUACAGGGAGUGUAUAAACCAACAGGGGAAAAGAUGACAUAUUUAUUUUCAUUUUCAUUAACUUCAUUUCAUUUCAUUAACCUCUAACUGAAAUUUAGCAUUUCCUUUAAUUACUUAAACCAUUAUUCUGGUAAGGAAUUACUAGGCUGCCAAAGGAUCCAUGGUACAAAAAAGGUUAAGAAACCCCGAUCUAGCCUAUUAUGGUAGUAUGUCACUCAUCUAGACAUUAACUACCUAGCAAACUAAUCUAUCCGUAAAAGCAGAGAACCAGAAAAUUAGAGAAAAGGUGUCUGAGAUGUCAAGUAAAUGCCACAAAGUCCAUAUUCUAAAAGCACAUGGAGUUUACACAUUGGGAAGCCCUUCAGACCUUUACUUUUUCUUAUUUUAUACAUAGUUCUAACAAGCUGAGUUUCCUGAUCUCUCAGCCCACAGCAUAUUAGAAAAAGUGGAGUGGAUGAACAUACACCAACAACAAUGAGAAAUGAUUAGUUGAGAGAUUAAUGACAGUGAAUAGAAAGCUGACCUCAGAGCCUAGAAGACCCAGAUUCAAGUCCAUACCAGUUAUGCAUGUCUGGAUAAGUCAUUUAAACCUUUCAGAGUUCCAGUCAGUUCUCUAAAAUUAAAAAUGGCAGAAGAAGUUGCCUAUCUGUAUCGUAGGUGACGUUUCCUCAUCUGGUAGCUCUCUCUAUCAGGGAAGUCAUAGAUAUAAGUUCUAUCCUUGUCUUUAUAAAGACAAGGAAGAUAAGAAAAAUUGUAAAAAGCAGAUCCAAGAAUUCAAAAGUCACAGCAAUAUGAGGCCAUUAGGUGCAGAAUUAGAAUUCUCUGUAUAAUUCAAUAAAUCUUAAAGGUAUCACUACAUUAUAGCACAAUACAAGAUGUUCAUAAUGAUUAUUCUGAGUAAUCAAGAAAAGAUUAAAUUACAUUCAGCAAUAUAAGUAGGCAGGGAAAUAGGUAAUAUAAUUUUAGAACAUUUGCAUGCAAAUGUAUAAAUGUGUAGAGCAGACCUACGCAACUUGGCAGUAGAUUCAGGAUGCAGAUAGGUUAGAGCAGUUUAGUCACCUCUACUCAGAAAAGAAGUACAAAACAGAAAAAGUGCCUAAGACUCUGAGACCCAGUCUCAGGCUCUCCUAGGCAUGACGUGCAUAUUUGCUUUUAUGUGCUCAUAGCCACCAUAUAACUGUAGUGGGAAAAAGGGUGAAUUUCCCUUUCCCCACUGCCAAGAGAAGUCUCAUGAUCAUAAGAUAUGAAUAGGCUCCAAAAUCGUUGAAUCAGUUCACAAUUCCACCAUUAAUGAGUUAGUGUUCCAAUUUUUCCA